UCGCGCUGCCUGUGCAGGUUCACACAUUGCUGCCUCCAUCUCGGCAGGAAGGUCCGCGGAGGUCAACACGGGCGGGCGAGGGGCCAUGGUUGGCGUGGCCACUCCAUGCGCAAGCAUGAGACCCAGUAAGCCACAGCAUGGAGCACUUAUUGGGUGCUGGCACGUGGGGGCUCCCAGACUGGCCCCUGACCACUGUGUUUGAGGAGUCCUGACAGCUUGAGGUGGCAGAGACCCCCCCCUCCAGGAGCAAGGGACAAAGCUCACGUCUGUCUGUGUGGAGGGGGACACUGAGGCUCAGCCAGGCUGGAAACAGAGGGGCAGUAGGACCGAGGGGCAUCCUGCA